rnacentral:tRNA from 1 species
GCAAGCAUUGGUCUAGUGGUUAAGACACCUGUGUCCCAUACUGGAUUGCCUGGGUUUGAUUCCCACUGCCAGCU